UUUUUUUUAAUUUAAUAUAUUAUAUAGUUUUUUUUAUCUUUUUUUAUUUAUAAUAUAAUAUUAGGUAAUAAAUAUUUUAUAAUUUGAAUAUAGGAACUCGGCAAAAUUAAUUUUCACCUGUUUAACAAAAACAUGGUUUUUUGAUUUUAAUUUAAAAUCGGGCCUGCCCGUUGAUUUGAAAAAUUGAAAGGCUGCGGUAUUUUAACUGUACGAAGGUAGCAUAAUCACUUGUCUUUUAAUUGAAGGCUAGUAUGAAUGGUUUGAUGAAAAAUUUUCUUUCUUUAUUUAAUUUAUUUGAAUUUAAUUUUUUAAUUAAAAAGUUAAAAUUUUUUUAUAGGACGAGAAGACCCUAUAGAAAUUUAUUUUUUAUAUAGAUUUUUCUUUUUAGUUUUUAAAAGUUUAAUUUAGAAUAAAAAAUUUUGUUGGGGUGACAAUAAAAUUUUUAUAACUUUUAUUAAUUUUUUCCAUUAAUUUAUGUGAUGAUCCAGUUUUAUUGAUUAUAAGAUUAAUUUACCUUAGGGAUAACAGCGUAAUUUUUUCGGAGAGUUCUCAUUGAUGAAGAAGUUUGCGACCUCGAUGUUGAAUUAAGAUAAGUUUUGGGUGUAGUCUUUCAAAUAUUCUUGGUCUGUUCGACCAUUAAAUUCUUACAUGAUUUGAGUUCAGACCGGCGUGAGCCAGGUCGGUUUCUAUCCUUAUAAAUAAUAGGUUAGUACGAAAGGACCACCUAUUUCAAUAAUUUUGUUUAUUUUGAUUAUAAUUAAAAAAAAA
rnacentral:rRNA from 1 species